rnacentral:rRNA from 1 species
ACGAACGCUGGCGGCGUGCUUAACACAUGCAAGUCGAACGGAAAGGCCCUGCUUUUGUGGGGUGCUCGAGUGGCGAACGGGUGAGUAACACGUGAGUAACCUGCCCUUGACUUUGGGAUAACUUCAGGAAACUGGGGCUAAUACCGGAUAGGAGCUCCUGCUGCAUGGUGGGGGUUGGAAAGUUUCGGCGGUUGGGGAUGGACUCGCGGCUUAUCAGCUUGUUGGUGGGGUAGCGGCUUACCAAGGCUUUGACGGGUAGCCGGCCUGAGAGGGUGACCGGCAACAUUGGGACUGAGAUACGGCCCAGACUCCUACGGGAGGCAGCAGUGGGGAAUAUUGCACAAUGGGCGGAAGCCUGAUGCAGCAACGCCGCGUGCGGGAUGACGGCCUUCGGGUUGUAAACCGCUUUCGCCUGUGACGAAGCGUGAGUGACGGUAAUGGGUAAAGAAGAACCGGCUAACUACGUG